GUGAUUUGGAUAUUUGUACACCGUUAAACUUGCAAACGGCUCACUACGGCCAUUGAAAUUUGUUGAUUUUGAGCCGAUUCGAUCACUAGGCAAAUGAUAUCGAAAAAUAAUAAAAUUUAUUUUCUAGGUACUCUAAAUACUCUAGAUCAAUUUAACGGAGCUGAUCGACGAUUCGAAAGUCGCAUACAUCGAAAACGAGCUGGAAGCACGGAAGGCUCGUACUUUCGAGAGCAUAGUAGCCUCACUUAUAUAUAUAUAUAUAUAAUAUAUAUAUAUAUAUAUAUAAUAAGAUUAUAUUAUUUAGGGGGUUAUUUGAGAGAAGUGGUAAAGUGCCGGGAGUGUUUUAUAAUUAAUUUUUUUUUUAUGAUAGAGAAAAUAUUCUGUCCAACUCUAUUUUAUUGUGAUACAUUAUUUAAAAACAGCACACAUGCCUCUUUUAUAUCUUAGAAAAAUGCUACUUAUUAACCUAUAAAUAGAUCUAAAUCUUACACCUUUCGCAUCCAUCCUAAGAUCGAUUCACAAAACUCAUUUUAGUUUUAGUAUAUAAAAAAAAUAGUUAAUAAGAUUGGUGGAGGAUGGCCAACCAAUGCUACACAAUCACGUAGACAACAUUUUCUACGUAACUCGGCUCAGCUCAACCUAAUCCUUUACCAGUAAGCAUGAUGCUCGCACGUCUCUUUUGGCUUCGCUUUCGAGUUUCGACACAUAAUGGCCUACUCAAAUGAAACGCCCCUUAGCAGUCAUAUAUAUAUCUCAUAGAGGAUGUUAGAGAAAUGCGGGUGGUGUUGGAUGUGGCCCACGUGAUUUAUUCAAAACGAUCUAUAAAGAUACAAUCGGUUUAUUCAAGUCGAUCUAUAAAGAUACGGUAGAUCGAACGGUUAGGGUGUAUUUCGAUACGUCCUUGAUGGACGGACGUGAUUUAACAUCCUUACAUUAAGUUGUAUAUAAAUAUAAUAUAUGGGAGUCACGGUCGGUCUAAUCCUAACUCAAUUUUCUGUGACGGCUUCAUCUUCGGGAAUAAGAGAAUUAGACUCGAAACGUUCCGUUUUCUUGCAGAUUGCGAACGAGAACGAACCACGAGCAAAAAUUACACCUACAAAUCGGGUACAAAAAUCGAAAUCAUGACAGAAGGUACGAUUUAGUUUCUAAUAAAGUUUCAACAGGCGGAGCUUCUUAGACUUAGAGAUAACAACUAGAGGAUAAGAGACCUUACUCUACUCUCUGCUACGUACGUGGUGGGCGCACUACUAGAAAAUUAGUCAUUAGCGGCAUUUAUUUUUGCUGCUAAAUGAUCAACAAAUGCUGCUAAAAGUUUUAGCAGCAUAUGACACCAAAUGCUGCAUAUGCCAAUGUUGCUAAAAGUAUUAGCAGCAUUAAUUAUAAAUGCCGCCAAUAUAAAUCAAUUAGUGUCAUUAGGAAUAUGCCGCUAAAAGAGAUUAAAUACAAGUUUUAAAUUGUUUAUUAGCGGCACAUAAAUAAUAUGCCGUUAAUACAAAUAUCUGAUUUUAGACAUUAAAAUUUUAAAUUUGUAAUUUUAUUUUAUAUUUAAUUUUUUUGAGAUGCUACCCGCUUAAUUAUUUCUUUUUGUCUUAAACUUUGCUGGAAAUGUGAAUCAACUAGGUUUCGAACUUGAGACCUCGAGUACCAACAACCAAGCCCUUUGCCACUUGCGCUAGCGACUAUUAGUUAUGUAUAUUUUAAUUUUUUAUAUUUUAAGUCUUCUAUUUUAAAAUUUUAAAAUUUUAAUUUUAAAAUUUAAAUACUAAAUUUAAAUUUUUAAUUUUGAAAUAUGAAAUUUUAAGUUUCAAAAUUAAGAGUUUUAAAUUUGAAAUUUGAAAUUUAAAAUAAAUUUUAAAUUUUAAAUUUUAAAAAUUAUAUGUUUCGAAUUUUAAACUUUAAUUUUAAAAUUUUUAAUUCUAAAUAAAAAAGUAAUAUAUUAAUAAUUAUAUAUUAAUUAGUAAUGAUAUUUAGUAACAAGUGCUGCUAGUUUAUUAUAUUUAGCAGCAUUCACUAAUUUAUGCUGCUAAUUUAUCUUAUUUUGCAACAUUAAUAGCUAAAUAAUUAAAUCUAGCGGCAAUUAUCAUGUAAUGCUGCUAAAUAUAUUAAUUGACAUGAUUUAAAUAAAUAUUACGGAGCAAAAAUAUUGCGGGAUUUAGCAAUAAGUGUUGCUACUUUAUUACAUUUUGUGUCAUUUUUUAUAAAAUGCCGGAAACUUUGGCGGCAUUUACUAAUUUAUGCUGCUAAUUUAUUCUAUUUUGCAAUAUUAAUAGUAAAUUGCUGCUAAAUUAUUUAAUUUAGCGGCAUUUAUCAAGUAAUACCGUUAAAUAUAUUAAUUAGCGUUAUUUAAAUAAAUGCUGCGGAGUAAAUGCCGCUAAAUCAUAAAUUUGUAGUAGAGGCGAUUUGGAACGAGAGGGGCAAUGUGAUAUUUAGAGAUAGAAGUAUCAGGCUAUCAGCCCGAUACUUGUCCUACAGAGUAUUCGUCAUCUUUUGAUUUCGAGGAGGCGCACUGCCCCUAUGCCUCUUCUUGGGGCAAUCUUUUUUUUUUUUUUUUUUUUUUUUUUUUUUUUUUUCCGGAGCUUUAACUUGUCUCUAUCUGCUAAGUUUAUUUUCUCUAACGAAUAAAACAGAUAAUUUAUUAUCUAUCUUUUUUCUUAAAAGAAAACAAAUUGCAUUAGUUAGGGUGCAAAAUGAAGAAGAAGAAUGAAUCAAUCAUCCAAUACAUUGUAAAGUUGUUUACAGCAUAGCCAACAUGUUUAUAAUUAAUCGAACUUUACAUCAACUGUAUACAUAUUUAUUGAAUCAUUUGAUACAACAAAUUCGUUUGGAUGGAGAAUGAAGGUGACAAAUGAAUUAACUGUUCAAUUUAUUGACUAAAAAAGGAAAAAAGAAAAGAAAAGAAAAGAAGAACAAGCAAUACACAAGCUAUAUAUACGUGCAUUCAUGAAUCUCACGUCGAAGUAGUGACAUUAAUAAUGCUAAUGAACGAAGUAGGUGACGAGGAGAGCAACAAGCAUGAGAACAUAAGCAAUCCCUUGAUCGAUCGCGUUGCCGUCGAUCCGAUGUUUUUGUACCACCGCUGCCGCCGCAGCCUCCUCGUGGCCGUGCGCGAGCUGCGUGAACCCCGACAUGAACGCAACCGCGAUGAUGAACAGCGCGUACGCUCUCAUCGAACUCAUAUUCCAAUAUCUCUCAAGAAUUACUAAGGCNGCUUCCGCGUGGCCGUGCACGAAUUGCGUGAACCCCGACAUGAACGCAACCGCGAUGAUGAACAGCGCGUACGCUCUCAUCGAACUCAUAUUCCAAUAUCUCUCAAGAAUUACUAAGGCUUAUAAUGUUUGUAGCUAGCUCGGUGUGUGUGUGGUGGGAGUAGCAGUUGUUGUUGUGGUCCAGAGGGUUUGGUAUGUAGGGGUGUAUUUAUAGUUUUUGUGUGUGUGUGUGUGUGUGUGUGUGUGUGUGUGUGUGUGUGUGUGUGUGUGUGUGUGUGUGUGUGAGAGGAAGGGUGCUUUGGGAAUGGAGUGAGGGAUACGAAUUUGGAAGCCGGCCGUUGACCCGGAGAACGCGGAUGGCGGAAAAAAUUAGGGUUUCAAAGUAACGGUCAAAUGAGGGGUCAAAAGGGAGAGGAAAACAAAAAGAAGGUUCCUUGCCGUUGGAUCUCAUGAUCAGUGUUUUAUACGUGGGGUGAAUAUUAUUAAAUUUAAAAGUAUUUAACAUCGUUCUCUAUCAUGUUAAACUUUUAGUAAUAAAUAAUAGGGGCAAUUGCUUAUAUACUCCUGGAAAGUUUUCGACUUUUUGAUUUACCUUUCUUAGAAGGUUAAUAUUGAAAAUACCCUUUUUGCGUUCCAAUCUAUUUCUAAUAUACCCUAGAGUUAAAAUCUGUUAAUGAACUCCGUCAUUUCUGUGAAAUUACUAUUUUACCAUUUCAAAUAUACCCUUCUACCAUCACCGACUUUUCUUAUAUAUUUGCCCUUAAGUUAGGGGCACAAAAAGUAUUUUGCUUUUUGAUCUUUUCAAAUAUACUCUUCUACCAUCACCAACGUUUCUUAUUUGUCCUUAAGUUAAGGGUAAAAAUGGUAUUUUAUUUUUUUUAAACUGUGGUAGAUAUUUAACUCACGUUUAACCUAAGUUAACUUAACGGGUAGUAACUGCAGGAAUACUUUGAAAUAACGGAGGAACAUAUGAUAUUGGAAAGAAAAAAAAAAGGGAUAAAUGAGACAUUUUCGAAGUUUUAAGAGGUAUAUAGGUAAUUAUCCCUAAAUAAUAAUUAUUUCAUAUUAUUUAACAAAUAUGAGCCGUAGAUAAACCUGCAAUCCUCUCGGCUACUUACAAUCCGGCCGUUGGAUGCCAUGAACACCUGCUAUACCAUGUUUUUUAGGUGUAAUUAUAAGAACCUUGCAGCUUUUCUCGUGGGUCUAAUUUUUUUUUUUUUUUUUGAGAGAUAGGUAGCACGCUACCUACUUCGUUUAUUUUAUUUUAGAAAUAAAUUUAGCUGAAAAUAUGAAUCAUGCAACUCGGAUACGAAGUUGGGACCUCGUGUCCUUGCUAUUAACACUGCCAUCAAAAGUUAACAGAAUCUCCAAAUUAUUAAGUCUAUUUGAUACAAGGCUAAAGUAUAGCGUUGACAUCAUUUAAAUUUUUCUCUAUUUAGGGGGUAAAUUGAGACAAAAGGUAAAGUCGAGGGAGAGUUUUAUACUUGAAUCUUAUUUCCCAUAGAGAAAAUAUUCUGUCCAACAUCAUUUUAUUAUGAUACGCACAUUUGAAAACAACACACACGCCUCUUUUAUAUCGAUCUUAAUUAGGAAAAUACUACCUGUGAACUUGUAUAUAUAGAGAUCUAAAUCUUGCCCCUCCUGUAUCUAUCCUAAGAUUCAGAAAGCUUUUUGUUACGACAAACGUAUAAAUUGAAACGAAAAAUGACGAACACAAAAUAAACAAAGUACAAACAGAAAUAAAAGAAACACACAAAUUUACGUGGAAAAUCCUUUGUAGGAAAAAACCAAAGACGAGGAAGGAGAAAACUUCACUAUCGAAAUACAAUGUUCGAGUACAACCAACCACGAUCUGUCGCCUCUAGGGUAAAAAUGAAAAGGAAACUCUUAACGGUUUCGGAUCCGAUCCGUACCGAAAAGGAAACUCUUAACGGGCUCGGGCCGACACCGCUAUCCACCACAGACAUUCAUUUUUCCUUCACAAUUUGAUUUUUCAAAUUGGUCGCACUACGAAACUAUCGACGAGUCGAAAUUCCGAACUGAAGUCGAUUAUCAAUUUCGAGUCACAUCUAACACUCUUUUUAGUUUUAGUAUAUAAAAAAGCUAAUAAGAAUAGUGGACGACGGCCAACCAAUGCUACAGUUAAAUCUUUGUAUAAUUUUAUUACGGAUGGAGGACUGGGAGAUCCCUUAACCUCACAAAUCUGGAGAUCGAAAUAUGCUGGAAUGGUAAAAAUGAAAGUCUGUAUAUGGCUACUACUGAGAAAUAGAAUUGUUACUUUAGUCAAUCUUCAAAAGUGUGGUUAAUUGGCUCAAAAAGCAGUGCCAAUAAUCUUGAAACUUGUGAUUACCUUUUGUUUAAUUGCAUAUACUUUUUGUAUGAUCGUUGGCGCCAACUCAGCCUUCCGUCACUUUGAAUAUAGUUCGGCCCAAUCCGGCCUUAUAACAAGCUAACUUAGUCUCGUCCAACAAGGCAAGAUGCUAGUCCUUCAAAGCAUGCGAAAAUCAACUCCUUGACCUAUGACUCUAAUAGGUACCACUAGUGGGAUUGUUUGUGCUAACCAUUAAUUCUAAAAACUCGACCUAUUAUGUAGUGUUCCAAGAAAUUUAACUACCGAAACGAUUACAGUUUCGACGGCUCGUCGACAUUUCUCAUGAAUGUUAGGAUGAGUUAGAAAUGUUUGGACGUGAAAUUGACGUCACAAACAAAGUGAAAUAGAAAUUAUAGCUUUGUUACUCUCUAAUAAUUGUUCUCGUACUGUUUAUAGGUACUUCUAGUUGAUUCGUCAAGGCUUCUUAUGUAUGCAGAGAAUUUGUUGGUGAGCCUGGAUGAAGUUGGAACCCGGGGGUGUGACAUAUUAGAAGGAUACAACGAAUUCAAUUAAGACACGCAAACACAACGUCCAUAGGUCUCGAUUGUGACUUGAUCUUACUUGGCCUCUUGUCACUUCGAACAUGACUUAGGCUAGCCAGGCCUCUUGUCAUUUCCAAAGUAACUCGGCCCAACCUCAUAUUUUAUUGAUACAUACAUAAGAUGCUGGUCCCUUUAGGCUUCACUUUUGACACCUAAUCGUUUGCUCCGAUGAACCACCCCUUAGCACUCAUCUCAUAGAGGGCGUUAGAGGAAUAUGAGCGGAGAAGCUCACAUUUUUUUUUUUUUUGAGGAAAAGGUAGCAUAUUAUUUGCUUCAUUUAUUAGAAGAAUGAACUAGACUUUAGGGGUGACGUAAUAAACCUCGGUUGAAAAAAAAAAAACAUCAUUUCCACAGGGACAGGUUUAGAGUUUAUUGUUUAGAUUAGGAAGUAACUACUUAGCUACUUAAUCGGGAGGAUUUCCUCCCAUAAGACAUCAAGUAUCUGAUCUUAUUGACCGCUGACAGAGGGUCCGCAUUAGUCUUGCUAAAAGUCACACAAUUUCUGACAUUCCAGAUGACCCACCAGCAGGCUAUCAGUUCAGUCAGUCUAGUAUGAGUUGGUUGUGGAGAAGUUCACACUUAGAUAUAAUUACAACUAGAGGCUAAGAGGCCUUACGCUACUAUCAUCUAUGUGGUGGGUGAUUGGGAACAAGAAGGGCUAUGUGAUAUUCAGAGAUAGAAGUACAAGCCCAACUCUUGUCCGAGAGAGUAUUCCUCAUCUUUGAUUUCGUGGGAGGUGCACCGCCACUAAGCCUCUUGAGGCAAAUUUUUUUUUUUCUGACUUUUGUUUUUUUUUUUGUCUUUUUCUAGUGGACUAGAUUGUCUUCACUAACGCAGCUAAGUUUAUUUUCUCAAUGAAUAAAGCACAUAACUUAUUAUUUAUUUUUUUAAAAAAUNUUUUUUUUUUUUUUUUUUUUUUUUUUUUUUUUUUCUAGUGGACUAGAUUGUCUUCACUAACGCAGCUAAGUUUAUUUUCUCAAUGAAUAAAGCACAUAACUUAUUAUUUAUUUUUUUAAAAAAUAAAAACAAAUUGCAUUGGUUGGAGUGCAAAGAGAAGAAGAUGAAUGAAUCAACCAUCCAAUACUUUGCCUAAAAGGGAGUGAAAACAAAUUAUUUAAUAGCUUACAGUAUAACCAACAUGUUUAUUAAUCAAACUUAAUUUACAUCAACUGUGUACAUAUUUAUUGAAUCAUUGAUACAACAAAUUCGUUUGGAUAGAGAAUGAAGGAGAUGGAUGAAUUAUCUGCUCAAUUCAUUGACUAAAAUAGUAAAAAAAAUAAAAAAGAACAAGCAAUGCACAACCUAUAUAUACGUGCAUGCAUGAAUCUCACGUCCAAGUAGUGAUAUUAACAAUACUAAUGAACGAAGUAGGUGACGAGGAGAGCAACAAGCAUGAGAACAUAAGCAAUCCCUUGAUCGAUCGCGUUGCCGUUGAUCCAAUGUUUUGGUAGCGCCGCCGCCGCCGCAGCCUCUGCGUGGCCAUGCGCGAGCUGUGUGAACCCCGACAUGAACGCAACCGCGAUGAUGAACAGCGCGUACGCUCUCAUUGAACUCAUAUUCCAAUAUCUCUCAAGAAUUACUAAAGUUUAAUUAUAUAUAGUUUUGAAGCUCAGCGAGAGGAUUAAUGGAGAGGGAGGAGUAGUAGUUGUUGUUGUGGUGGUGGUGGAGAGGGGUUGGUACGUAGAGGGUGUAUUUAUAGUAAUGUAUUUUGUUUUGUUUUCUUAUUUAUUUUUAUGGGUUUUUUUUUGAAAAAAAAUAAAUUAAGGAAUGUGUUUGGGAUUGGAGUGAGGGAUACGAAGUGGAAGCCGGCCGUUGACUGGAGGAAUUAACGCGGACGGCAGGAAGCGCGGGAGAAAGUGGGGGCGGGCAGUCCUAGGAAUGCGAAUGCGGCGAAGCCAGAAUUUAAAAUUUAGAAAAUCAUAAUUUAAAUUGGGUAAAUUUUAAAUAUUACUUAUGUGGUAUUGUAUUUUCUCACUUUACUAUCCUAUGAUUUAAAGUGUAUCAAUUUGGUAUCCUGUGGUUUUAUUUUUCUCUUUUCGUCAGCCCCUCCGUUAACUUUUCGUUAAAUUAUAUAUAAAAAAUUUCAGAUAUUAAUUUCACCUAUAAUUUAUCGAAUAUUCACUUUAGUGCCCUUUAGUUUUAACUUUGUCAUUGAUUUAAUGAAAGAAAUUUAGUAUAGGGGAUAACAAAAAGAAAAAAAAUAAAACCAUAGGAUACGAAAUUGAUACACUUUAAACCACAGAGUACUAAAGUGAGAAAAUACGAAACCACAGAGAUGAUAUUUAAUGUUUUUCUAUUUAAAUUUAAUAGAAAAAAAUUUGAUCUCAGAUAAUAAGCAAAAGCGUCGACAAUGUGCUCAAAGAGAGGAGUAGGGCUAGAGGUGGUGAAGGGAAUGGGCCGAAGACUGAGGGGUCCAAACGAAAAAUUUGGAGCACAAGUGUCACGCCCCGGGUUAAACAUUCCCCGGGCACGCCGACAAAUCCGCCGUAUACAAAGAAAUUUUUCCUGUAUACGAAGCGAUAGCUGUACCUGUAAAUCAAACACUACUACGAACAGUAGUAGAGAGCUGCUAGAGAAAACAAAGUUUCAUAUACAUAGUUCAGAUCCAAAANGUUGCACGGAGUCCGUUUUGCGCCUAUUUGACGCCAACGCGACUCGGACUUGUCCCGACACUCUCCAGAGCUGUCGACAAGCCUCCACAGUCAAACACCAGGGAUCUCACAACAAGAUUGUAAAAGAAAAUUUUCAAGUUGGCCCCUUAAAACUAAAAUUUAUGGUGUAUGAAUAUGCAGAUGAAUUAGGUGCAUGCAAUAAUUUUUACUUUGAAACAGUAUCAACAUGAAAUAAUUAUAUUGAAGGUAUAGGGACUAAAUCAAAAUUUUGUUGAAGGUUCAGCUAGGGUAGGAAACAUUGAAAUUAAAAGUUUGAUGAUCAAAAUGAAAUAUGAUUUGAAGUUUAGGGACUACUAAUUACCAACCGUUCCUACAGCAAGUGGCAAAAAGUUUGGUGAUUGGUACCUGAGUCUCAAGUUCGAAUUCUAGUUGAUUCAUAUUUCUAGCUAAAUUUAUUUUUAAAUGAAAUAAACGAAACGGGUAGCGUGCUACCGAUCUCUCAAAAAAAAAUAAAAUAAAAUAUACUUCUGUUAUUUGGUACGUUGCGCUAUAAAUUACAAAUGCUCGUAACUCUAGUUUUCCGAAACAGCAUAAUUGGCUUCACCUUGAAUAGUAACAAAGCCAAUUAGGGGAGAGAGAAACAGAAAAAAUAAUAAAAAAUUAACUACAUAUUGUAUCUUUUUUUCUUCAUUUCAUGUGCUAGUGUGGAAAUUUUUGGUAAAAAAAUUUCCAAAAAAGCUAUAACUCCAAAGUUAUUCGUUUUUUAUCACAAAUUAACAACAGUAAAACAUAAUUUUUAUCCGAAUUUGAGUUAAUUUUUUUUAACUUGAAAAUGAAUUACAUGCAAACAAAUAGGAUAAAACUAAGGAAAGUUUUUAUGUACUGCUAAUACAAUUGAGAAAAACUCAAUUAUUUCUUAUUGCAGUUCUGGGUAGAUGAACCUCUUUUGUGGCUGAUGGGCCAGGGGUGUUUAUUUUUAAAAUCAUUAUUUAUCAUUAGUAAUCAUACAUUUUAGGGUAAAUUGCAUGUUUAUUCUCAAACUACGAGGCACGCGACACUUUGAUUCUCAAAUUUUAAUUUAUUAUAUAAUUUCUGACUCGAAUUUUUAAAAUUAUUACAAUUUAGUCUCACAACCUAAUUUAGUUAACUAAUUAAAUAUUGACGGAUCUAUGAUAUAAAAAAUUUAUGUAAUAUUGUAAUUAUUAGAGUACAAUCAAUCACAAUAUUAUAACAUCACUUAUAUAUAUAUCAAUUGUUUGUCAAUAUUUAAUCAACUAAAUUAACUAGGUUAUAGGACUUAAUUGCGUCAUUUCUGAUAGUUUGAGCCAAAAUUAUAACAAACUAAAGUUUAAGGACCAAAAUGUCACCCCCGCCCCAUAGUUUGAAGGGCCAAAUGCGCAAUUUACCCUAUAUUUUGCAAGAACCCAAAGCAAAUCUAAGCAUAGCUACACAUCCCAAAUCUGCAUGAGCCCCCCUGCUUGCACUUGUUCUUGCAACAUCCACAGUUCAAGGGAUCAGACAUUACAUUCAGACAGCGACCGCCGCAGCAAGUCUCUCCGUAACUGCAUCUCCGACCGCACUGCCCGCAGUUCAGCAAGUUGGUAUCCACAUUUACGCACCGCCCCGAGCAGCAGUCCGGGCCAGGACUGCUCGGCCCACGACACACUCUGGGAAAGACAUUGCAUGAUAGUGGACCUCGCAGAUUCAUAGAUUUUAUUGACGAAUUUUGAUUGCGAGUAAGAUCAUUCGCAAUUAAUGGAGAUCUGUUUGUUUGGUGUGGCUCGUCUUUAAACUUGUUGUUGUCAUCGUUGCAAAGAGCGGUGGCUAAAACGAUAAAAAGUAAUGCUAAGAUGAGGAUUAGCUUCAUAAUGUUGUACUACAAAAUAUAUAGAAAAGGUUGAUGAGGAGGGAGAGAUGUUGAGUUUGAGUAUUUAUAGAGGGGGGAGUUAAGAGUUGGUUCAAGUAAUGUAUUAAGUUAGGCCUCUCAAUGGAAAGCUCAAAAUGGUAUAUAUGAGAAGUAUAUUUAUCCAUGGAUUGGGAAGAUGUGCAACAUCUCUCAUGCAUGAUAUUCUUUACGUGUUAAUGCAACAUUAACUAAAAUGAAGAGUUAUGAUCACAAUUUUUACAGCUAAGAGGUACACUAAUGUCUUAUCUGAUUUGCAUAAUAAUUUUCAAAGUAAUUCUAAAUUGGUGCAACAAUUAAUUAAAGAUUCUAUUCUAAGAUGGAUCUAUGCUCUAGUGCAUUCAUUUACAUUCGCGGACCUUACAUGUGAGUGUAGUGAAGGAUGUAUGAACAAAUUAAAUUUAAAGGCUCAAUAUCCAUCACCUAUCACUUAUUAAAUGAAAAAAGAAAAAAAGAUUAUAACAAUGGCACUGCAUGUGGGGACUUGUUAAUGUAGAGCUAGUAGCCGGCAGUUUAGGUUUUGAUUAGACUUAGACAUUGAGUAUGGUGAGCUAUUAAAAUCUAACUAAAAACUGUACUGUUAUAUUCUAAGGCCCCAUUUGGUUCGGGGUAUAAACGGGGAUAACGAAAGUUAUUCCCUCUAUUCUGCUAAAUGGGAUGAUGUUUUAUCGGAAUAUUUUAUUCUGCUAUUCUGCCAAACGGGGAUAACGAAAGAUUCAAAUUUAACUUUUAAGAGAAGUUAGAAUUAAGAUAUCAACACAUACAACCGAUAAUAAAAAAUAAUAUUAUUAAGAGAAAUUAGAAUUAGGGUUCUAGGAAUGGGUAAAAUAAAAUGGGUAUUCAUGCACUAUUUUUAUUUUAAAAUUUUUUUAAAGAAAUUAUAUAUGUGCCUACCCGUAGGUACCUGUGGAUUGCUCAAAAUAUUCAUAAUUUAAUAAAUAUCCAACCCAUUUUAUUCAUAAUUUUUUUGAUAAUAAAAAUUAGUAUCAAUACCAGCCUGCUGUAUUGCCACACAACACCCACUCAAAUAUUUUUGAAUGAUUCACUGUUCUAUUUUCCAUUCAAAUACAAUUCAAUUUUAUUUUUUAUUUUUAUUCCAAACAUGAACUAAAUAUGCCGUAAUAGCUAGCUCAUCAGCAACUUUAUUUUCUUUUGCACCUUCUAGAAAUAUUUUUUUUUCUUUAAUUUAAUUAUCCACAUGAUUUUUCAUACUACCAAGUUAUGAUUGAUUAAGAACACUCUUUCAAUAUAGAAGGCAAUUUAAAAUCUUAUAUAAAUAUUAGAUUUAUUGUUAUAGUUGAGAAGCAAAUGAUGAUUGGAAAAAGCUUAUUCUUAGAUAAAAAUAUUUGUAAGUUUCAUACUAAUCUAAAAUUUACACUAUUGCAAUUAUAUUCAUUGGAUAUCUCUCAUAUAUAAUUUUCAUAGCCUAGAGAACUGAUUUAUGUAAUUAAGAAUCAUCUAAUUAUACAAAUAAUAUGAAUCCUAAUAAUUUAUAGAUGUAAAAAUUAUAAAAAUAUGAUAAGUUAAACUUGUGGCUAAGAUUCGAAGACGUAAUGAAAAAGAUACUAAGAAUUUAAAUUAAUCGCGAAUUGCUUGUGCAUGAAUGCAUAUAUCUCACAAUUACAAAAAUUUCUCAUGGAAAAAAUCAACUAAGAUACAAGUAAUACUAAUUCAACUACUUAUAUUUUAUAUAUAUGCAUAUUAUACUCAUGCAUUGUAAACUAAUUCAUUUCGUUUAUGUUGCUCAAACCAUUUUAUACUAGCUACGAGUCUAAUCACAAAUAAAAAUGAGGUAAACCACAUGGGGCAAUCUAAAUUUUUUAGAAAUUAUGCGGACAAAAAUUUAAAAUUUAAAAUUUAAAUAAUAUUUGAAUAAUAUUUUAUAAAUUUGAAAAAUAUUUCUAUUAAAAUUUGAAGUUUAAAAUUAUUUUUUAAAAUAAUUAAAUUAUUGUAUGGAAAGGGAGCUCAGCUGUGUUGAGCUGCGUUGAGCUUGGCGGGCAUGGCCAUGCGGGGUCGUGCCAUGCUGGGCCGGGCCGGGCCGAUGCCUAGGCCCGGUCCGAGCCCGACAUGAUCGGUCUUGGGCCGUGCCGGGCCGAUAGGCUAAAAAUGGUUGGCCCAACACGGCCCAGCAUUUCGGAUCGGAUAGGUCUGACACGGAUUCUACAGUACCCGUGCCGUGCCUAGUGACGACCUAGAGCUGUACCGAGCCGGACGUCCCGAUUUUACAUCCCUUACUCCCUCAAAUUCUAAUUUUUUUUUAUUUUUCUGUGUGUGGAAUUAAUAGACUUUCAUUGAAAAAUAUUGAAAGAGUUUUCGAAUUUAAUGAUAAUUUUACUAAAUUAUAUGACUUUAAUAAUUUUGGGUACUGAAGGAUAAAUUUAAAAUUUUUGAAUAAUAGCCAGGAGUAUAUAAGCAGAAACUCCUAUUUUCUACAUAAAUAAAAUAGAAAAAUAAUUAAAUAUUCCUGACGUAACGUCAACAUCACUGUUAAGUCCCCUGGUUGAACUAGUGAUUCUUAAUACAGUAAUAUUUUCCAGAUUGUUGUUUGGCCAGAUUUUUUUUUAAAUAGAUUACUUUUUUACUACAUCAAUGAACAAAUCACAAAUUCAACAUAAGCAGAACACUCUAUUGUACUAUAUAUAUAUAUACUGAUAUCCGACUUUCUUGUUUCAAGCUUCAAAUAAAGUAACUUUUGAAACUCACAUAAAUUGAACUGAAACAACAAGCGGAAACGAAUCAAACUUACAUUUUUAGAUCGUUAUUUGACCAACAUUUUAAAACAUUGCGUUUUACUACAUUAAUGAACAAACCACAGAUUCAACACAAGUAGGACGCUCUAUUAUACGAUACUGAUAUCGUACUUCUUUAUUUCCAGCUUCAAAAAAAGUAACGGUCGAAACUAAGUAGAACCGAAACAACAAGCGGAAAUGAAUCAGAUAUAUGGGUAGAGAGGAGCUGUGGCAAUACCACAUAAUCCUUCUUUUGCAGCGACAUCUUUUGCUAUUCGCAUGUAUCCACUUUCGCCCCAUUUGGGGCCGGCUGAGUUCUUCAGUAUCCAAUACUUUUUCCCCGAUUCCUCACCGUAGCCAACUACGGCGACAGUGUGAGUGACAUCGGGCGAACAAUCUUCAUCAAAAAUACCACCUUUGUAAUGUUGCCAAGUUGUGGCGUUAACUGCGACCGUCACCGGUUGGUCAUUCACAGCUUUCAUAAGCUCAGCUUCGUUGUUUCUCGUAACCAACCUGUAGCCAGUAAUGUAAGCUGCAUGAUCUGAUUCCUUGGUUUUGUCACACACCCCUUUAGAUGCCUUGUAAGGGUAGUUAGCCUCGGUCGUCAAGCCUUUAUUUGCGAUGAUAUAAAGGAAAGCUUUUAAUCGGCUACCGCCCGAGCAGUCACCACCGUUGGAACAAUCGAGAACUUGCUGUACUGAAAGAGAUUUUAGUUCGCCUUUCUUGAUCUUGUAGAUGCUCUCAACUGUCGCUACCACAGCGAAUGCCCAGCAGCAAGCUAGUUUUGUAUUAAGUGACACAUUCAUUAGAAUAUAUCAUAGAUGUAAGUAAGGUUUUAAGUGUUCGUCGGCACGGCUGCAUCCCCGUGCCGUACCGUUCUAACAAGAUACCGGCACAAUACAGACUCCGUGCCGAUGGCACAGCUUAAAACCCUCUAUUUUUUAAAUUAGUAAAUAAUUUUUUCAACAAAGUUCAAAAGAUGUGAUAAAAAGACAUAAUAAAUAGUUAGAAUAUUUUGUUGCUAAAGAAAAUAAAUAUUUCAUGCUAUUAUGUGUCGGCACAUAAGAAUUUUUUUGACCGGCACGCAUCAACACGUCUCGGCACGCACCGUGUUGGUAAGUUUUCAGUAUGACUCCGUGCCACGACACUUAAAUCUUUGAAUGUAAGAGAAAGUUAACAUACUUAAUUAGUUAAUAUUGGUCGAUUCAGUAUGUUUUUACCAAAAGAUUUUAUUAUACUACAGGUGAAAAUUCUUACCGCAGUCUCCUUGGUCCUUGACUUCAGUUACGGCACCUUCGGUCCUCCAAUCAACGGUGGCUCUCAAGGCCAUGUUUUUGGUAUGACCCCGUGUCACAACACUUAAAUCUUUGAAUGUAAGAGAAAGUUAGCAUGCUUAAUUAGUUAAUAUUGGUCAAUUCAGUAUAUUUUUACCAAAAGAUUUUAUUAUACUACAGGUGAAAAUUCUUAAGUUACAGCACCUUGGGUCCUCCAAUCAACGGUGGCUCUCAAGCGGGUGUUUUCGUACUCGGCUUCCACUAGAACGGUCUCUAUAUCUGUUGGGAUGUCCUGCUCUGCAGUUCCUACAACGUACGUAUUUGCAUACUCCUCGUUUGUCAUAUCGCUAAACCGGUUAACUCCGAGGGUGUACGAGCGCCCGCCGACUUUGUUGAAUUCUUCAAUGUACUUCACGUUGUUCUUAAAGAUCUCGUACCGUUGCUGCUUCUCCUUCGCAUUCGCGUACGUUCGACCGUGUUCGGACAUCCAAUCUUCGAACAUCGUCAUCGUCGGCCCGUCCAUUCUAGUGUUCCAAGAGCUGAACAACAAAGAGAAACACAACAAGACAAGAGAUGAGCCGAUAAUUAAGCAAAGAUUGGAAUGUGAAAGCCAUAGCUACAAUGUAUACUAUACUUAGAAGUUGGAGCUUGCGUUUGUGAGGUUAAACUCUUAAGAUUAGGCUCGUAUAUAUAGAGAUUUGGCGAAGACAAUGUGAGGGGGAAGGCAAUGUCAUCGUAUAUAUCCUCCUCUGUGGAAAAUCAUAUUUUAAUUUGUACUCCACAAUGAGUAGGUACGACUAGGUUAUACAAAUUAAGUCGACUUUCAAUAUUGUGUGAUGUUAGUCAUAGGAUUACCGUGUGCCCCUCUUUUGGUUUUUCCCAAAUUAUAUAUAUAUAUAUAUAUAUAUAUAUAUAUAUAUAUAUAUAGUUGAGCUAGAAUAUUCUCAAAAAUACUAUUACGGUGGUGCUUUUGAGUUUUUAGCCAUUGGAUGGAGAGAUGUGAGGUUGAGAUGAUGGUGGUUGGUGAUGGUAGCUGGAAUAGUGUUUAAUCCAUGGACUAUUAGUAAUCAAGGAGUAGAUCCAAUGGCUAAAAACCUAGUAGUAUUAUGGGUGAUAUUCUAGCUCAAUUUUANAGUGAGGCUACUAUGCUAUCCGAAGCACGGAGCCUUCCGUGCUUCCAGCUCGUUUUCGAUGUUGCGACUUUCGAAUCGUCGAUCGACUUCGUUAAACUUGAUCUAGAGUUUUUGAAGUAUCUAGAAAAUAAAUUUUAUGAUUUUACGAUAUCAUUUGCCUAGUGAACGAAGGGGCUCAAAAUCAACGGCUGAAAAUAAAAAUCUUACAAAAUGUAAUAAUAUGACAUUAAAAUUUUAAAUCAAAUAUAUUAAUCUUGUUUUAUAUAGUAUAAAGAAUUUUCUAUUAAAAUUUCACGUGAUUUGGAUAUUUCUACACCGUUAAACUUGCAAACGGCUCACAACGGCCAUUGAAAUUUGUUGAUUUUGAGCCCAUUUGGUCACUAGGCAAAUGAUAUCAAAAAAUAAUAAAAUUUAUUUUCUAGGUACUCCAAAUACUCUAGAUCAAGUUUAACGGAGCUGAUCGACGAUUCGAAAGUCGCAACAUCGAAAACGAGCUGGAAGCACGGAAGGCUUCGUGCUUCCGAUAGCAUAGUAGCCUCACUCAUAUAUAUAUAUAUAUAUAGAAUUAGGCUGGAAUACUAUUAAUAGUAAAAUGAUCUUUUUGCUAUCAAGUUUUUAACCCUUGGAUGAAAAAUUGUAGGGUUAGGAUGAUAUUAGUCGGUUGUAGUAUUUAAUCCAAUGGUUAGAAAUAAUGAAAAGAUAUGAUCCAAAGGCUAAAAAACUGGUAGCAA
rnacentral:lncRNA from 1 species